ensembl:misc_RNA 7SK 7SK RNA
GGAUGUGAGGGAGAUCUGGCUGCGACACCUGUCACCCCAUUGAUCACCAGGGUUGACUUGGCUGAUCUGGCAGGCUAGGUGGGUGUCCCCUUUCUUUCAAUGAUCCACAUGAGUCCCUUCGCACUCGGUCAAAGAGGACGACCACCUCAAUAGAGCAGGACCAUUCCUCGGUCAAGGGGAUAUGAGUCGCUGCACUCCCCUGCUAGAACCUCCAAACAAGCUCUCAAGAAAGAAACAAACAUUAAAUAACCGUCUUUUUAGCAGGCCUUGAAUCAAGUAUAGUAUGUUCUCCUUGUUCUUUUGCAGAACUGUUGUUUGCUUAUCCCA